UACGUAUGGUCCGAGCGUUGUCCGGAAUGACUGGGUGUAAAGGGUGCGUAGGUGGACUUUUAAGUCAGGUGUGAAAUCCCCGGGCUCAACCUGGGAACUGCGCUUGAAACUGGAAGUCUGGAGUGGGUAAGAGGUAAGCGGAAUUCCCGGAGUAGCGGUGAAAUGCGUAGAGAUCGGGAAGAACAUCUGUGGCGAAGGCGGCUUACUGGUACUUAACUGACACUGAGGCACGAAAGCGUGGGGAGCAAACAGGAUUAGAUACCCUGGUAGUCCACGCUGUAAACUAUGUAUACUAGAUGUCUGAUUCGAAUGCGAAUUGGGUGUCGAAGCAAACGCGGUAAGUAUACCACCUGGGGAGUACGGUCGCAAGAUUAAA
rnacentral:rRNA from 1 species